rfam:Oryza meridionalis cultivar OR44 (W2112) chromosome 6, whole genome shotgun sequence.
UUUAAGUACAACCAUGAGCUUUCGUGCUCAACUUUGAUCGUCCGUUUUAUUUGAAAACUUUUUAUAAUUAAUAUUUUUGUGGUUAUGAGAUGAUAAAACAUGAAUAGGACUUUAUGCUUAACUUAUGUUUAUAAUUUUUUUAAAUAAAAUUUUAAAUAAGACGGACAAUCAAAGUUGAGCAUAGAAAAGCAUGACUGUAUUUAAA